rnacentral:misc_RNA from 1 species
AUAGAACCUGAAUUGAGUUGUCUUCGUUCUGUAAUGAUUCGUAUCAAGUGUCAGAUCAGAGAAAUACUUUCCACUGUAUUACAACAACGGUCAUUGUGGAGCGCCCGUCACGAUGCUACACAGAUGCGGCAGUCUGGUCCUGUCUCACCCCGAAUGGUCGGGGAUGAAAGCGGCUGGUUUCCGUCUCGUGGGAUCUGCUGCACCGGGGGUGGGAGUGGUUGGCAUUCAGAAUUUCCUGUUAAGGUCUCGCAAAGAUGGAAGAGCCACAAUUUCCACUAAUAUUUGUAGGACCAGGCAAUGGAACAGAAUAAAGGAAAGUAAUAAUAUUAUCCUGAAUGGCAGCCCAGGAGCAGGCAAGACUACAGUAGGAAGGAUUGUUGGCAAAAAGCUUGGUAUGGAUGUAUUAGAUGUUGAUAAUGAUAUAUUGGAAUCUGUAUGGGGUAUGCCAGUCAGUGAAAAGCUCUUUGAAGUUGGAGGAGAAAACUUUGUAGAAAAAGAGGGGGAAGCGCUCCUCACCUUCACCCCUCCCCCAGAUACAGUGGUGACACUCACUGGCUCCAAUGCCAUGCAUGGUGAAGCUAUGUCUCACAUCUCAAACUAUGGCCCGAUCUUAUUCCUGGAUGUCAAGAACGAAGACAUCCUCCAAAGACUAGAAGCAAUGAAGGUAAAUCGCAUUGUUGGGCAAGAGGCCGGUGUCUCAAUGACGGAGAUCCUGGCAUACAGGCAACAGUUCUAUGAGAAAUCUUACAGUGCGCGCAUCGUCUGCGAGGCUGACGAAGCACAAGAGAGCAUCGCUGGAAAGAUCGUUGAAGCCGUGGCUCGAUUAAAGAACAACAGCCCGUACAUUUCAACGAGGAAUUGUGGAAAGAGUUCGGGAAAAGAUUUUCUGAGUGCAGUUCUGCAGGGUUUGGCAGAGGACGGUGGCCUGUUUGUUCCUUCAGGACAGCUUCCGAAGAUGACCUUGAAGCAGUGGGAACGUCUUGUCCCGUGCACCUACCAACAAAGAGCUCAGCGUAUCCUGGAGCAGUGGAUUCACCCUGCUGACCUCCACCCCUCCGUACUGAAUGGAAUGAUCCAAAAAACUUACACGUCAGAUGCUUUCCAGUCUGAGGAUGUGGUGCCGGUCACUCAUCUAGAGGGAAACCAACAUCUGGUUGAGGUCUUCCAUGGACCGACUGCAUCUUUCAAGGAUGCUCCUUUACAACUCAUGCCUCAUUUCUUCCGAGAAGCAGUUAGUCAGAAAGGAGAUGCAAAAUAUCUUAUAUUAGUAGCCACAUCUGGUGAUACAGGGAGUGCAGUUUUAGAUGGAUUUGGUGCAACAAGUGUAACCAAUGGUGAUGAUGAUGUAUCUGUGAUGGUGUUCUAUCCCGAAGAGGGUGUUAGUCCAGUCCAGAAGUCUCUUAUGACUGCUGUCAACAGUCCUAAUGUCAGAGUCAUAGGUGUUGAAAGUGAUUUUGACUUCUGCCAGUCUGCCAUCAAGGAUAUCUUUUCAUCCGAGACCUGCAUGCUCCGUCACUCCCUUCUCAACGAUUACAACGUAAAGCUGAGUGCAGCAAACUCCAUUAACUGGGGGCGUCUGCUACCUCAGAUUGUCUACCAUGCGUCCUCGUACUUGGAUCUGGUAAGGCAAGGUGUCAUCAGUGUAGGGGAUCCUGUUGACCUGUGUGUUCCUACUGGAAACUUUGGAAACAUCUUGGGAGCGGUGUAUGCCAAGUUGAUGGGUAUUCCUCUAAGAAGACUACUCUGUGCUUCCAAUGUCAACAAUGUCUUGACAGACUUUCUACACACCGGGGUAUAUGAUCUUCGACAGAGGCCUUUGAGGGUGACCAUGUCCCCCGCCAUUGAUAUCCUCAAAUCUUCAAAUCUUGAAAGAUUAUUGUUUCUUGCCACGGACUGCAAUGGUCCACAAGUAGCCAGUUUCUAUGAACAACUCCAGGAGGAACGAUUCUUCCAAGUACCAGAUAAUGUUCUGACAAAGAUUAGAGAAGACUAUGGUUUCCAUGGUGAUUGGUGUGAUGAGGAAACUUGUUCUAAGGCCAUCAAAGAAACCUUUGAAAAAACAGGAUACCUUCUAGACCCCCAUACGGCCAUCAGCAAGGUGGUAGCAGAUCGUCACCCCUCCGACGAUGGAGCUCCGAUGCUCAUCUGUUCCACCGCUCACCAUGGUAAGUUUGCAUCCGAUGUCCUCGGCUCCCUAGGUCACAGAGCAAAUCACUCUGAUAGACCCGACCUCCUCCUGAAUCGACUCGGGGAUUUGAACCCCCGACCUGGCAGGCAUGUGAACCUGGAGAGGUCGGUGCGGAACCCUAGGGUUCAGAAGAAAGUUGUGGGUGCUUCAAUGGAGUCUAUGAUGAAGGAGGUGCAAGAUUUUGUGGAGGAAAGGAUAGGGAACUGAGUGCAUUCGAAAAUCAGUUUAUUCGCUUUUCCUGAUUAGAUUUUGAGGGAAGUAUAUGACUUUGUGCAGGAUAGGUAAGAGACCAACUGCAUUUUGAGCUUUUAAUCUUUUAGUGGCAAGUUGGAUGAGCUCAACACACUUUUAUCCAUGUAAAAAGUGCUUUCUAGUCGAAUGUCUUUCAAACGUAGCUAUAUUUUUCUCUACAUGAAAGUAUUAGCCUUGGGAAGCUUUUUCCCUUAUUUAUUGUUGUUAGGUGAUUGUUGUCAAAAAUAUAGUAUGUCAUUUUCAUCACCGUUGUAUUUUGAACAGUAUGUUUUGGGGAUAUAUUUUGUAGCCUUACCUUAACACACUAUGUAUUCAGUUAAUCUGUAACCUUUUAAUACAUGUACAAGAAGUAAAAUUAAUAGAGAAAUGCCUCCAUGCCUGAAGAUAUUGUACAAUAUGCUGUAGAGUCGCACUGAUAGACGUGUCCUGUAACGCGUGAGACAUGUAGAAUCAGAACUAUAACUAGUUGCAAAUGACUGAAAAGAGACAAUUUCUCCAAAUUACAAGAUAGGAUCCCAGAAACCCAUGUUUAAGUAAUUAAUUUUCUUUUAAGUUAUCUUGAAAUACCUUUUACUUUAAGUGGAGACGGCCAUCCAUUCAAGCCAUAAUGCAUGAAACGCAGCUUUCUGCUUUCCAUACCACAUUCAUUUCAGCUAAAAAUGGUGACUAGAAAUGUAUAUUUCAUAUGGCUUGUAUUUUACAUUAAGCACUUUUAGAAAUGCACGUGGACAUAGUCAACUGGUACGAGAUGACGUCAUUUUUUAGCGUUCCAUAUGCCUCAGGUCCUCACACACGUCCACUAUCAGAAUCGAGAACCUCGACACAUCCAUUUUGCGGUUCUCCUAAAUCAUAGUCGACGUGCACGUGAGUGACGUCAUUUAACCGCUCAAGCUCAGCAUGAAGUUCAACCUUUCCCUUUUAAAACACAGUUUUAAGUGACUUUUUCUCAAAAUUAAUGUAAGUUGUACGAUGCAUUAAGUUUAUCAUAUUUGAAAUUGCUUUUUGAUCUCCAAAAUUUAUAUCGAUAUAUAUCCUAACUCGCGUAAAAAGGAAUCAAAGCAAGUGAAAGGGCAAGUGUGCACAAGUUGCACCUUCGCAUCGCCCGACCGGGUCGCCAGGCGAUGGUACGCCCAGAUCUUCCGGGUCGGACAGCGUGUCAUGACCCGCUGGUAUCGUGCUGUUUCAAGUGGACGUACGUACACGUGUACAAGUCGAGUGAAAUCUAAAGUCAUCCGAUCUGUAGUAUGAGGGCAGACGACGACGUUGACUCGAGCGAUCAGAGGACUGCUACGACGUUCUCGUUCACUACUCCUAAAAGUCUCUAUUCUUUGAACUGUUGUUACCAAUUAUACCAUGUAUGAUGCUUUUUGUUGGAAUGCAGAAUUGAACAAAAUAACUUGACUAACUUUUGUACAAUAUCUUUGGGCAGGGAGUUCUAUAUUAUUAUUACACAUGUUCAUGUACAACCAGGAUUUUAACAGCCUGACUCAAUUUGCCUCACAUUUACUUAGUAUUCACCUAGAUGGGCAAAAAAAACCCACACAUAUCUAACUUUUGCCUUUGUCUUGCUUCUGAAAAGCUAUGACAAGAAUAUUUGAACAAAUUAUGUUGUUAGGUACUAAAAUAAAGCUAGACUUGAACUUUUCGCAAUGGAUGACUAGUAACAAUAUUGUUGCUUGCAGAAUUUAGCAUCCAAUUUGGUCAAAAUAUCGGCCUGGAAGUAAGAACCUUUUUAAUUGUUUUAGUCCUUUUUUUCAGAUUUAACUUCAAGCAAAGCUUGGCUGUAAUGUUGUAUCUGUAGCCAGGUUGCACAAUGUAUGUUUUGAUUUCUGGGGCAUGUUACAAAACACUUGCAAUCAACUAACAUCAAAAUGCAGGCUUCUGAUUGGUUGAAAAUCAAAUCGAGUUUGCUUUUCAGAAGUAUGUUGGAUUGCAAAUUGUGAUUCAACCGGACCGUUGUUUUUAUAGGACGAAAUGCGAUACCAUUUCAACUAAUAUCGAAACCGGUUCCUGAAGGCUAUCACAACAGGCAAGUUGUCCUUAAUCGAUAUCCCCAAGGAAAUGCUAGUGCCUCAUCAUCUAUCAAAAUGAAGGGGUUCACUGAUAUUGUAGUCAAUGGUCCGUAUUCUGAAGUCAGGUUUAAAUGAGACCAUGGUCUAAUUCUGUGCUAAAAUUAUGGGAAGCCAAAAGUGU